ACGCUCGACACCUACGGGAGUCAGCAGUGGGGAAUAUUGCACAAUGGGGGAAACCCUGAUGCAGCGACGCCGCGUGAGUGAAGAAGUAUUUCGGUAUGUAAAGCUCUAUCAGCAGGGAAGAAGAUGACGGUACCUGAGUAAGAAGCCCCGGCUAACUACGUGCCCGCAGCCGCGGUAAUCUGAGCGGGCUGGCAAGGC
rnacentral:rRNA from 1 species